AGGGUCAUUGGAAACUGGAGAACUUGAGUGCAGAAGAGGAGAGUGGAAUUCCAUGUGUAGCGGUGAAAUGCGUAGAUAUAUGGAAGAACACCAGUGGCGAAAGCGACUCUCUGGUCUGUAACUGACGCUGAGGUUCGAAAGCGUGGGUAGCAAACAG
rnacentral:rRNA from 1 species